UAAAUUAACUAGUAUAAGAUGAUGAACGGGGGAUAGAAGAAAUCUCCCCAAAUAACCAUCCAAAAAAUAAUAAUAAUAAUGAUAAAAGAGCAAAUAUGAUCGGAUCUGCAGCAAGUUCCAAAAAAUUAUUAAUCAUUUAAUCAAACCCUAGUCGGAGGUGAGUCCAUCGAGUAUAAAACCCCCACGCCCUCGUCCACGCGCUCUUUCUCUUUCAUUCCAACAAACCUCUUCUUCGCAACAAAUCACAGCUGUUGUUCUCCUCACCAACUCAGCAAACUCUUGUUUCUUUUAAGCGCCGACGACCAACAACUCUCUUCCUCUCUCCAUCCUUUUGUUUUCUUUUUCUCUCUUCAGAGUUGAGAUCCACUCCUUCCCCCCAACUCAUUCCGCGUCAACCGAGUCAAGAUUCUUCCUCACAUUAUAAAUAUCCUUCGUAUUUUCUUCUUUUUUAUUCAUCUCAUUUUAUUCGGAUAUCAUAUUUCGCUUAACUUGUUCGACUCAAGACUCACUGGGGUCGAAGAUCCGUUAACCGUGUUCUUGUAACUCGGUUCCGGUUUAAACCGACUCCAGGAUUGGGUGAAAUUGCGAUUCCUUUCGAGAUCCAUGGACUCGUUUUUUAGACCCAAUCCGAGUUCAGAGCAUAUCAAGGAUCGAAUCGAGUUGUGGUGACAUAGAAUAGGGUUACCACAUCAGAAUUAGGGUUUUUGGAAAUUUUUUAAACUAUAGGUUUAGAGUAUGGCGUCUGUGAGAAGAUGGAGCGAGGGCAUGUCCUCAGAUAAUGUCAAGGGUUUGGUUUUAGCGCUUUCUUCAAGUUUAUUUAUUGGGGCAAGUUUCAUUGUUAAGAAAAAAGGCUUGAAGAAAGCUGGUGCUUCUGGAAUGAGGGCAGGAGUUGGAGGGUAUUCUUACUUGCUGGAGCCACUUUGGUGGGCAGGCAUGAUAACAAUGGUCGUGGGGGAAAUUGCUAAUUUUGCGGCCUAUGCAUUUGCACCAGCUAUCCUGGUCACUCCUCUUGGUGCCCUCAGCAUCAUUAUCAGUGCGGUGCUUGCACAUAUCAUUUUACGGGAAAGGUUACAUACUUUUGGGAUUCUUGGUUGUGUUUUGUGUGUCGUGGGCUCUACAACAAUUGUUUUGCAUGCUCCCCCAGAACGUCAGAUUGAAUCCGUAACAGAAGUUUGGGAUCUUGCUACUGAGCCAGGGUUCCUCUUUUACGCAGCUUUGGUCUUAACAGCUGUCUUUAUACUUAUAUUUCACUUUGUUCCGCAAUAUGGACAGACACACAUAAUGGUUUACAUUGGAGUUUGCUCUCUUGUGGGUUCCAUUUCGGUCAUGAGUGUUAAAGCACUUGGUAUAGCUUUGAAGUUAACCUUUUCCGGAAUGAAUCAGCUUGUAUAUCCGCAAACAUGGGCCUUUACUUUAGUUGUGGUUACUUGUGUGCUUACUCAAAUGAAUUAUUUAAACAAGGCACUUGAUACUUUCAACACAGCAGUUGUUUCUCCGAUAUACUAUGUUAUGUUCACAUCACUGACCAUUUUGGCUAGUGUGAUUAUGUUUAAGGAUUGGGAUAGGCAGACUCCAACGCAAAUUAUAACAGAGAUGUGUGGAUUUGUGACUAUCCUUUCAGGAACUUUUCUUCUUCACAAAACCAAGGAUAUGGUUGAUGGUCCAAGUUUGACAACAUCUUUGUCUAUGCGAUCGUUAAAGCAUGAAGAAGAGGAUGGCUUCGGUGAAGGCACCCCUCUUAAGAGGCAGGAUUCAUUGAGAAUACCUUAAUUGAAAUUUUAGGUCAUCACUGCCAUUCUACAAAGCACAAUAGCUUCUGGGGAGAAGCCUCGCCUGAUGUCAACAUGUAUUUUAUGACCAACUUAUUCGAUCAUAUACAUUUUUUGGAUGCAGUUGGAUGAGGUGAGAUUUUCAGUGGCCCUUUUUCCCUUUGACUUCAUGAUGCGACCAUAGCUUUCAGCUUUUGCCUUGUAUACACUAUUCCCCCAGCUCAUACAGGAAAUAUGGCCAAUGUAAUCUUGAGCACAGUGGUUAUACAGUGUAUCUUUUGCUUUGUUCAGGCAACAAUUGGGUGGUGGAUUCUUCUCACCAUGUGAACUGGGAAGAAAAAAACUCAGAAAAGAAUCAAAUACAUGCAUAUUUAUUGCAUUUCUUUAUUUGAUAAUCUCAUGUCAUUUAUUUGAAAUGGCGGCUGAAAUGCUGACAUAAAGUUUCAUGACAUCUCAAAAAGGCAAAAAUUGGCACAGAGAAAGGGGUGGAGGAUUGAUUUAUGGUAAACUUAGUUGAUAACAGAUUUUUCAAAUACAUUUACAAAGAAUUUGAGGAGUGAUUACUCUUCUAUUAAGCAACCACCAUUUUCAAAUCAAUAUUCUAGAAAGGGUCCCUCUUUUUAACGGAUCAUUGUAAGGCAUGGAGACAAUCCAUGUUUUUCUAAUGUAAGCCCAAAUGAGAAGGCAAUGCAUUUUGUUUCAUCAAAUUUAUAUUCUAUCAACAAGCGGUAAUUAAUAUCACACCAAUGGUUUUGCGCCCUUUCGAACUAGAAAAAGAACCCAUCGUUACCUUUGAGAAAGGAAAUUAUUCUUGGGAAGACAAAGCUUGGAUACAGCAAGCCUCUUUCUUUUUGCUCGGCUGCCUGCGCCAUCUCUUUGCUUUUUCUGAGUUAAUAUCUCCCUCUACAGAAAAAUCUCAGCUUUGAAAUUAUGCAAACAUUGUCAGCUGAAGAAUCCGGUAGAGAGAGAAGCGGCGGCUAAACCGGUUUAUUUCCACUUCGAGUUCAACUCUUGAACUUAAACCCACACCGUGACUCAAUCAGAUUUAAGUAACUUUGGCUCUCAAGUCUUAAAGCGAAGCCCCUGUCUGUAAAAAUCCCGAGUGAAAGGCUGAAAGCGCUCUCUUCUUUCUCUCUUUGAUUAUCAAUCGAAAACGAUGGAAUUUAUUAAACCGUUAAUUACAAUUACUAGAACGAAAUUACGACAGGCAUCGCUUUUAAGGGCGGAUGGUUUUAGAGAAGCCUGUUGUGUUCACUGAGUUAUCGUUCGUUGUCGCAGUUUGUUUGACCUAAACUCGGUUGUUAUCCCAAUACUACAAUGGAUAUUACCUGAUCAUUACUCGCAGAUCCGUUGUGAAGAAAUGUCUGAACUCCAUGGCGUCUUAAAAUUUUAUUCCUUCUUACGUGGCUUACUCGUACAACUAUUUUAUAUUAGUGGUUACAAUGGAUAUAAUCUAAACCAUUCCAUUUUGAUGGCAUUUAAUGAUUUUGUACAUUAGUUAUUGUAUCUAUAUAUAGUUUUCAUUUUGGUCAGGUACCUUCCCAUGUGAAUUUCACUUCUCAUUUUGCUAUAAUUCAGAUAAAGUUAAGAUGCUAAUGUUUGGUUUAAUGGAAUUGGGUUGACUUUUGUUUGAUGCAAAUCCAAAUUAGUCACCACAUCUCUCCUGCAAACCCCUCUUCAUUUGCAAUUUACUAUGUCAUUUUAAUCAUUCUGUCCUUCCCCAUGAUAAUAUUCUAUUUCCAUAUUCAUGAUCAUAUGCAACCAUACCAUACACUGGUCAUUUGCUACUUUCACCAAGACCACCUUCAUUACUGCCGUUGCUAUCUCAUUAUUCUCACCAUUAACAUUGGUUCUGGAACCGUGUCCUCUGUAAUUCAUCACUACAACCAGCAUAGUCAGCACAAGCCAACUGCCAACCAUACUAUUGACAUUGCUGCCCUCUCUGCAUGUGUUACUGCAGCUGCUUUUAGUCUUUUUCUUAUAGAGUUUAAUUUUUGUUCCGAUUAUUGCUGAGACGAUAGCUUUUCUUGCAGCUUCACACACAUAACAUGUGUUGAAAGGGUUUUGUGAGACAAUGUUUACUGUGUCUUGUGGUUUUUGUCCUUUUAUGAUUAUGAAAAGUUAACUUCCUCAAACCAGGUAUCAUCAACUGUUUGAUUAUCAUCUGCAGGUAUCUUGGUUCUAUCCAUUGUACAUCUUCAGCUUUAUUAUGAGCAAUCUCUGGUAAAAUGACAUUGCUAAGCAAGGCUUUGCUACAACGGGGAGAUCGGGCCUUCUUUGGUGGAAUCUUCAAAACUAAAUGAUGCAUUGACCUCAGACAGCAAAUUGCAUGCUGUAAGGCCUACUGGGCUUGGACGGUAUUAAUGACUGCAUUCUUCUUAAACAAGCAGUUAAACCUUUUAUAGAAGUGUUAGUCUGGUUUCCAUUGUAUGAUUUCGC